CACAAAGUAAAUAGUUGCUCUUGUGUGUGACACUCUGCCUCAGAUGAGUAGAGAUCAUAUUUACUGGAAGACAGGCAAGAUAAGUGAAAUCCAAAGAUGUGGAAUACCCAGAGUGCCCUUGAGAAGAAAGGAUACACUAUCCUGAGGAAGGCAGAGAAUGGUGUCAUAGCUACUGACAAAGAUGGUGACCAGUUUGUCAUUAAAGAGAUCAAACUGAAUGAAACAUCAGACUCUCUGAGGUUAAAACUCUCCUGCAGAUAAAUCUCCCCCAUUUUU